UGGGGAAUAUUGGACAAUGGGCGAAAGCCUGAUCCAGCCAUGCCGCGUGGGUGAAGAAGGCCCUAGGGUUGUAAACCCCUUUCAGCGGGGAAGAUAAUGACGGUACCCGCAGAAGAAGCCCCGGCUAACUCCGUGCCAGCAGCCGCGGUAAUACGGAGGGGGCUACCGUUGUUCGGAAUUACUGGGCGUAAAGCGCGCGUAGGCGGACCUGCAAGUCGGGGGUGAAAGCCCGAGGCGCAACCUCGGAACUGCCUUCGAUACUGCGGGUCGCGAGUCCGGGGGAGAUGGGUGGAAUUCCUAGUGUAGAGAUGAAAUUCGUAGAUAUUAGGAAGAGCACCAGUGGCGAAGGCGGCGCACUGGCCCGGUACUGACGCUGAGGCGCGAAAGCGUGGGGAGCAAACAGG
rnacentral:rRNA from 1 species